rnacentral:lncRNA from 1 species
CAUCCUUGCCCGGGCUGGGACCUUGGGGCCUGCUUGCUGUUUCCUCUCUGGCCUGCAGUUUACAGAGUGUCUUUGGCCAGCACAGUACUGGCUGCCGAACAGGAAUGGCAGCAAAAAAGCCCCAAACAAACAAAACUCCACAGAACUGCCCAGCCCUGCCUCCUUCUCCCUCUCCUUAUUUGCCUUUUGUCCCUUUCCCUGUCCUAGCUCCACCCAUGACUCUCUCCACCUCUUGGGGGUCGUCUGAUCCAGGCCACUGACUCUGACCAGGGCUCCUUUCCCCUAGCCAGGAGGAUCCCUACCCUCACUGAGCACUGGAUGAGACCUUCUCCCGGCCUCGGGACCUACUGUGUGCAGGCAGCUGUGCUUCUCUCUCCCAUCCUUCCGAGUCCUUCCUCCAGCACCUGCUGGGGACCCUCUGAUGCAAUGGGAAUGGGGAGUCUCCAGGGCAGUGGGUCUGUGAAAGGACAGCCUGAGCCCGCCGCUGCUCACUGCAUCUCGGAGAAGGAGGCAAAAGUGCUACCUUGUGCCCCUGUAACCCAGGACAGUGAGAUUUGCACCCAGAUCUUCUGCCGUAGAAUCGAGUGUCCCGCCCAGGGUGACAGGAAAUGAAUACACUCAGUCCGCAAGUGGCUGAUGGAGGAAGUGACCAGAGGACUCAGCCUCCACUCUGCUCCCUGUGGCCUCCCUGUCUGAUGGUGAGCUCUAUCCACCCUCUGUCUGCCUCUCCUCUUCCCCAGCACUGCAGCUUGAGCCACACUGCCCUGCACAUGAGGGUGGGAGAGGGAUUCCCAGCUGGGACGGUCUGGCUUCCAUUGCUCCCCCUCUCCUGAUCCCCAGGCCACCUUCCUCUUGCUCUCUUCUGGGAAGGUCAGGGGUUCUGAGAAGCAUGACUAUUGCACCCCAUUCUGUGAGGGUCUGGGUUAGGCAGGGUCGGAACUGGCCUCGGGGUUGGGAGGGCAGAGAGAGUGUAGUG